GGUAAGAUGGCCGAGCGGUCCAAGGCGCCAGGUUCAGGCACACCUGAAUGGAUAUUCCUGGUCUCAGAAAUGGGGCGUGGGUUCGAAUCCCACUCUUAUCA
rnacentral:tRNA from 1 species